GACGAACGCUGGCGGCGUGCCUAAUACAUGCAAGUCGAACGAGAGCAACCGGUGCUUGCACUGGUCAAUCUAGUGGCGAACGGGUGAGUAACACGUGGGUAACCUGCCCAUCAGAGGGGGAUAACAUCCGGAAACGGAUGCUAAAACCGCAUAGGUCUUCGAACCGCAUGGUUUGAAGAGGAAAAGAGGCGCAAGCUUCUGCUGAUGGAUGGACCCGCGGUGCAUUAGCUAGUUGGUGAGGUAACGGCUCACCAAGGCCGUGAUGCAUAGCCGACCUGAGAGGGUGAUCGGCCACAUUGGGACUGAGACACGGCCCAAACUCCUACGGGAGGCAGCAGUAGGGAAUCUUCCGCAAUGGACGCAAGUCUGACGGAGCAACGCCGCGUGAGUGAAGAAGGUUUUCGGGUCGUAAAACUCUGUUGUUAGAGAAGAACAAGUGCUAGAGUAACUGUUAGCGACUUGACGGUAUCUAACCAGAAAGCCACGGCUAACUACGUG
rnacentral:rRNA from 1 species